UACGAAGGGGGCUAGCGUUGUUCGGAAUUACUGGGCGUAAAGCGCACGUAGGCGGAUAUUUAAGUCAGGGGUGAAAUCCCAGAGCUCAACUCUGGAACUGCCUUUGAUACUGGGUAUCUUGAGUAUGGAAGAGGUAAGUGGAAUUGCGAGUGUAGAGGUGAAAUUCGUAGAUAUUCGCAAGAACACCAGUGGCGAAGGCGGCUCACUGGCCCGGUACUGACGCUGAGGUGCGAAAGCGUGGGAGCAACAGG
rnacentral:rRNA from 1 species